AAUAGAUACCCGGGUAGUCCACGCCGUAAACGAUGGAUGCUAGCCGUUGGGGGGUUACCCUCCGGUGGCGUAGUUAACGCGUUAAGCAUCCCGCCUGGGGAGUACGGUCGCAAGAUUAAAACUCAAAGGAAUUGACGGGGACCCGCACAAGCGGUGGAACAUGUGGUUUAAUUCGAGGCAACGCGAAGAACCUUACCAGGACUUGACAUGCCCUCUAUGGGCUCUUGAAAGAGAGCCCUUCACUUCGGGUGGGAGGUGCACAGGUGCUGCAUGGCUGUCGUCAGCUCGUGUCGUGAGAUGUUGGGUUAAGUCCCGCAACGAGCGCAACCCUCGUCCUCUGUUGCUAACAGGUUAUGCUGAGAACUCUGAGGAACUGCCCGUGAUAAGCGGGAGGAAGGUGGGGAUGACGUCAAGUCCUCAUGGCCCUUACGUCCUGGGCUACACACGUGUUACAAUGGCGAUGACAAUGCGCUGCUAACCCGGCGAGGGUACGCUAAUCGCAAAAAGUCGCCUCAGUUUGGAUUGUACUCUGCAA
rnacentral:rRNA from 1 species